rnacentral:tRNA from 1 species
GCCUGGCUGGCUCAGUUGGUGGAGCAUGUGACUCUAGAUCUCGUGGUUGUGGGUUCAAACCCUACACUGGGUG